rnacentral:rRNA from 1 species
AGAGUUUGAUCAUGGCUCAGGACGAACGCUGGCGGCGCGCCUAAUACAUGCAAGUCGAGCGAGAAACUCGGGGCUUGCCCCGGGUGGACAGCGGCGAACGGGUGAGGAACACGUGAGAAACCUGCCCCGAAGACCGGGAUAACACCGGGAAACCGGUGCUAAUACCGGAUGCCCUCACCGGAUCGCAUGAUCCGGUGAGGAAAUGGAUUCCGCUUCGGGAUGGUCUCGCGGCCUAUCAGCUUGUUGGUGGGGUAACGGCCUACCAAGGCUUCGACGGGUAGCUGGUCUGAGAGGAUGUCCAGCCACACUGGGACUGAGACACGGCCCAGACUCCUACGGGAGGCAGCAGUAGGGAAUCUUGCGCAAUGGGCGAAAGCCUGACGCAGCGACGCCGCGUGCGGGAUGAAGGCCUUCGGGUUGUAAACCGCUUUCAGCAGGGACGAAAAUGACGGUACCUGCAGAAGAAGCCCCGGCCAACUACGUGCCAGCAGCCGCGGUAAUACGUAGGGGGCGAGCGUUGUCCGGAUUUAUUGGGCGUAAAGAGCUCGUAGGCGGUUCGGUUAGUCGGAUGUGAAAUCUCCACGCUCAACGUGGAGGCGCCAUCCGAUACUGCCGUGACUCGAGUCCGGUAGGGGAGUGUGGAAUUCCCGGUGUAGCGGUGAAAUGCGCAGAGAUCGGGAGGAACACCCGUAGCGAAAGCGGCACUCUGGGCCGGUACUGACGCUGAGAGCGAAAGCGUGGGGAGCGAACAGGAUUAGAUACCCUGGUAGUCACGCCGUAAACGUUGGGCACUAGGUGUGGGGCUCUAUCGACGGGUUCCGUGCCGUAGCUAACGCAUUAGUGCCCCGCCUGGGGAGUACGGCCGCAAGCUAAACUCAAAGAAUUGACGGGGGCCCGCACAAGCGCGAGCAUGUGCUAUUCGAUGCACGCGAGAACCUUACCUGGGUUGACUUGCAGAAAGCAUAGAGAAUGGGUC